rnacentral:rRNA from 1 species
UACGUAGGGUGCGAGCGUUGUCCGGAAUUAUUGGGCGUAAAGAGCUCGUAGGCGGUUUGGCAAGUCGGGUGUGAAAACUCCGGGCUCAACUCGGAGACGCCACUCGAUACUGCCAUGACUCGAGUCCGGUAGGGGAGUGCGGAAUUCCUGGUGUAGCGGUGAAAUGCGCAGAUAUCAGGAGGAACACCGGUGGCGAAGGCGGCACUCUGGGCCGGUACUGACGCUGAGGAGCGAAAGCGUGGGGAGCGAACAGG